GCACCUACCGAUUGAAUGGUUCGGUGAAAAUCUCGGACUGCGGCUUGGAUGCCUUCGGGCAACCAAGCUGUGGAAAGUUGUUUAAACCUCAUCAAUUAGAGGAAGGUGAAGUCGUAACAAGGUUUCCGUAGGUGAACCUGCAGAAGGAUCAAGAUCGGAAGCGCGUCGUGUAGGUUACGAGUGUAGUUCUCGGUGGUCUCCGUAUCUUUAUAUAUCUCUUUCUUCUUCUCUUUCUUCUUCUUUUCUUCUUUCUCCUUCUUUUCUUUUCUUCUUAUCC
rnacentral:misc_RNA from 1 species